rnacentral:rRNA from 1 species
UACGUAGGGUGCGAGCGUUAAUCGGAAUUACUGGGCGUAAAGCGUGCGCAGGCGGUUUUGUAAGCCAGAUGUGAAAUCCCCGGGCUUAACCUGGGAAUGGCAUUUGGGACUGCAAGGCUGGAGUGCGGCAGAGGAGACUGGAAUUCCUGGUGUAGCAGUGAAAUGCGUAGAUAUCAGGAGGAACACCGAUGGCGAAGGCAGGUCUCUGGGCCAUUACUGACACUGAGAAGCGAAAGCAUGGGGAGCGAACAGG